GACGAACCGUCCGAACGUUAUUCGGUAUUACUGGGCUUAAAGAGUUCGUAGGCGGCUUGGUAGGUGAGGUGUGAAAGCCCACGGCUCAACCGUGGAACAGCGCUUCAAACCACCAAGCUUGAGGAUGGCAGGGGUAAUGGGAACUGAUGGUGGAGCGGUGAAAUGCGUUGAUAUCAUCAGGAACACCGGUGGCGAAAGCGCAUUACUGGGCCAUUUCUGACGCUGAGGAACGAAAGCUAGGGUAGCGAACGGG
rnacentral:rRNA from 1 species